GACGAACGCUGGCGGCGUGCUUAACACAUGCAAGUCGAACGGAAAGGCCCUGCUUUUGUGGGGUGCUCGAGUGGCGAACGGGUGAGUAGCACGUGAGUAACCUGCCCUUGACUUUGGGAUAACUUCAGGAAACUGGGGCUAAUACCGGAUAGGAGCUCCUGCUGCGUGGUGGGGGUUGGAAAGUUUCGGCGGUUGGGGAUGGACUCGCGGCUUAUCAGCUUGUUGGUGGGGUAGUGGCUUACCAAGGCUUUGACGGGUAGCCGGCCUGAGAGGGUGACCGGCCACAUUGGGACUGAGAUACGGCCCAGACUCCUACGGGAGGCAGCAGUGGGGAAUAUUGCACAAUGGGCGGAAGCCUGAUGCAGCAACGCCGCGUGCGGGAUGACGGCCUUCGGGUUGUAAACCGCUUUCGCCUGUGACGAAGCGUGAGUGACGGUAAUGGGUAAAGAAGCACCGGCUAACUACGU
rnacentral:rRNA from 1 species